CUGAUUUCAAAUGCUGGGUCCACAAGAGGAUUUUCUCCUAGUGAUGUGAUGGCCUGUGCUUGGUUUCUCCUACAGAUGAGGUUUCUGAAGCACUGGAACUAGAUUCCAAACAGGACCAUAGCCUUAACCACCGUACUUUCCUGCCUCUCAUCACAGGAGUUCCAGCCCAGGGUGUGGAUCUGUGACACCUGUGCUCAGGAAGUCCCCGUGUUCGGUGAAGCUCUGCUGCUGACAUCUUAAAUCUUCCUAGUUUAUCUUUAAACUUGAGCUUCGUAGUGAAGUUCGAUGGGACGGUGGGGUGGGCUCAUGAGCAGAGGAGGUUCAUGGUGGCCAGUGAGCCCACGGGGAGGUGGGCUCAGGUGCCCUGUGUGCAGCCCACGCAGGUGCUGGGACUAGGACCCGGGCCCAGAUGGGUGGAGGGGACGGUGGCAGCACCAGUCUGCACAAAUAUGAACUCUGCCCUCUAAGAGCCAGAACAAGAACUGCCAGGGCUUGGGCCGUGAACUUUGUCUGUAAAUUGUAAAAUAAAAGCCUACGC